rnacentral:rRNA from 1 species
UACGUAGGGCGCAAGCGUUGUCCGGAAUCAUUGGGCGUAAAGAGCGUGUAGGCGGCCCGAUAAGUCCGCUGUGAAAGUCCAGGGCUCAACCCUGGGAUGCCGGUGGAUACUGUCGGGCUCGAGUCCGGAAGAGGCGAGUGGAAUUCCUGGUGUAGCGGUGGAAUGCGCAGAUAUCAGGAGGAACACCGAUGGCGAAGGCAGCUCGCUGGGACGGUACUGACGCUGAGGCGCGAAAGCGUGGGGAGCGAACAGG